CUCUCUCCUGUCACCAUGUGAAGGUGUGCUUGCUUCCCCUUCAUAUUUUGCCAUGAUUAUAAGUUUCCUGAGGCCUACCCAGCCAUGGCUCCUGUAUAGCCUGCAGAACUUUUCACUCUUGUUGCCCAGGCUACAGUGCAAUGGCACGGUCUUCGCUCACCACAACCUCCGCCUCCUGGGUUCAAGCGAUUCUCCUGCCUCAGCCUCCCGAGUAGCUGGGAUUACAGAUGUCAAUUAUCUAUUAUGCACCAGACACUGUACUGGAUGUGAGGGUCAUGGCUGCCCAUAGGCCAUGAGGUGACUGCGUGCAAAUUUGAAAAAGGCUCUCCAGAUGCACACCUCUGCACCAGGUUGCAUGAAUUGCUGUAACACUCCCCGUGGAGAUCUGCAGCUUCACUCCUGAGCCCAGCAAGACCACAAGCCUACUGGGAGGAAUGAACAACUCCAGACGUGCUACCUUAAGAGCUGUAACACUCACUGUGAAGGUCUGCAGCUUCACUCCAGAGCCAGCGAGACCACAAACCCACCAGAAGGAAGAAACUCCAAACACAUCUGAACAUCAGAAGGGACAGACUCCAAACACGCCACCUUAAGAGCUGUAACACUCACUGCGAGGGUCUGCGGCUUCAUUGUUGGAGUCAGGGAGACCAAAAACCCACCAAUUCCGGACACAAAAUGAUCUUCUCACCUCAGCCUCCCAAGUAGCUGGUACCCAGGUGUGUGCCACUCAGAGGUGACAGCAUGCUGGCAGUCCUCACAGCCCUCAUUCGCUCUUGGUGCCUCCUCUGCCUGGGCUCCCACUGUGGCGGCACUUGAGGAGCCCUUGAGCCCACCACUGCCCUGUGGGAUCCCCUUUCUGGGCUGGCCAAGGCCAGAGCCGGCUCCCCAACGUGGAAGGAGGUGUGGAGGGAGAGGCACCAGUGGGAACCGGGGCUGCACGCAGCGUUUGCAGGCCAGCUGGAGUUCCGGGUGGGCGUGGGCUUGGCGGGCCCCGCACUCGGAGCAGACGGCUGGCCCGGCCGGCCCCGGGCAAUGAGGGGCUUAGCACCUGGGCCAGCGGCUGGGGAGGGUGUACUGGGGCCCCCAGCAGUGCCAGCCCACUGGCGCUGCGCUCAAUUUCUCACCAGGGCUGAGCUGCCUUCCCGUGGGGCAGGGCUUGGGACCUGCAGCCCGCCGUGCCUGAGCCUCCCACCCCCUCCGUGGGCUCCUGUGCAGCCCGAGCCUCCCCGAUGAGUGCUGUCCCCUGCUCUACUGCGGCCAGUCCCAUUGACCACCCAAGGGCUGAGGAGUGCGGGCGCAUGGCGCAGGACUGGCAUGCAGCUGCACCUGCAGUCCCGGUGCAGAAUCCAGUGGGUGAAGCCAGCUGGGUUUCUGAGUCUGGUGGGGACGUGGAGAACCUUUAUGUCUAGCUAAGAAAUUGUAAAUACACCAAUCGGCACUCUGUAUCCAGCUUAAGGUUUGUAAACACACCAAUCAGCACCCUGUGUCUAGCUCAGGGUUUGUGACUGCACCCAUCAACACUCUGUAUCUAGCUACUCUGGUGGGGCCUUGGAGAACCUUUAUGUCUAGCUCAAGGUUUGUAAACACACCAAUCAGCACCCUGUGUCUAGCUCAGGGUUUGUGAAUGCACCAAUCGACACUCUGUAUCUAGCUACUCUGGUGGGGACUUGGAGAAUCUCUGUGUCCACACUUUGUAUCUAGCUAAUCUGGUGGGGACGUGGAGAACCUUUGUGUCUAGCUCAGGGAUUGUAAACGCACCAAUCAGUGCCCUGUCAAAACAGACCACUCGGCUCUACCAAUCAGCAGGAUGUGGGUGGGGCAGAUAAGAGAAUAAAAGCAGGCUGCCCGAGCCAGCAGUGGCAACCCGCUCGGGUCCCCUUCCACACUGUGGAAGCUUUGUUCUUUCGCUCUUUGCGAUAAAUCCUGCUGCUGCUCACUCUUUUGGUCCACACUGCCUUUAUGAGCUGUAACACUCACCACGAAGGUCUGCAGCUUCACUCCUGCCUGAGCCAGCAAGACCACGAACCCACCAGAAGGAAGAAACUCCGAACACAUCCGAACAUCAGAAGGAACAAACUCCAGACGCGCCACCUUAAGAGCUGUAAUAGUCACCGCGAGGGUCCGCGGCUUCGUUCUUGAAGUCAGUGAGACCAAGAACCCACCAAUUCCGGACACACCACCACUCCCGGCUAUUUUUGUGUGUGGGUAUUUUUAGUAGAGGCAGGGUUUUGCCAUGCUGCCCAGGUUGGUCUUGAACUCCUGACUCAAGCAAUCCACCCAUGUCAGCCUCCCAAAGUGUUGGGAUUACAGGAGUGAGCCACUGCGCCCAGCCUCUUUUAAUAUCUGUAUAGUUUCAUGUAUUACACUUGGAUCCUUGAUCCAUUUAGAGUUAAUUCCUGUGUGUGGUGUACAGAUUGGACCUCAUUUUAUAUUUUUCCAGAUAACUAGUCAGUAUACCCAGCACCUUUUACAAAUCUUUGUCCCAGUAACAUAUAUUUAUUCUUUAAAAAUUCUGGUGAUAAAUACAAGUUUAAGGAAGAAAAAAAUCACAAACAAAUCCUACCCAGAGAUAACCGCAAAUUAUGUUUUGGUAGACUGCUCUGGUUUAAAUAUUUGACCCCUCUGAAACUCAUGUUGAAACGUACUCCCCAAUGUAACAGUAUUAAGAGGUGAGGCUUUUAAGAGGUUAUUGGGUCAUGAGGGCUGUGCCCUCAUUAAUGGAUUAAUCCAUUCAUGGAUUCAUGGGUAAUCAUGGGACUGGGUCUGUUAUAAAAGCCAGUUUGGCAAGUUCUUGUCCUCUCACCAUGUGAUGCCCUCUGCCAUAUUAUGAUGCUGUAAGAAGUCCCUUACCAGAAGUGGUCCCUCAACCUUGGACAACCAGCCUCCAGAACUGUAAGAAAUAAAUUUCUUUUCUUUGUAAAUUA
rnacentral:lncRNA from 1 species